UGAUAUGGAUUAAAUACCGAUAUGAUUAAAAGUCAAACGUCCAAGUCUGGAAGAGGGAACAUGGACGACAAAAACGGGCAUUCAAUUAUAAAAUCUGUGACUCGAAUUGUGUUGCAAGAAACAACUUCAAUAAUAUGGUGUUUUGCAGUAAACAGAAUGGGGUCUGCGAUGCCUACUUCAUAAACUGAGAGAAGCAAAACGGUCUGCAAGGCUCACUAUAACACUGACGUUGAUAUAUUCUUUCUGUUGGCGAUUGUAAAUAUUUGUGCUUAUAUGCGAUAAAUAAACUUUAAACAAAUUGUUUCGGACAGAACUUCACAUCCUUUAUUAAUUAUAUAUGUUACGUCAUAUUUAAUUUACCUUGAUUACACAUUGAUUCAACAUGAUUUGCUCGCAAUAAAAUAGGUGUAAAUUUUAAUUUGAUUCGGGACAGUUAUAAAAUAUUAGGAAAAGAGCAAUG